AUUGAACGCUGGCGGCAGGCUUAACACAUGCAAGUCGAGCGGGGUGAUGGUGCUUGCACUAUCACUUAGCGGCGGACGGGUGAGUAAUGCUUAGGAAUCUGCCUAUUAGUGGGGGACAACAUCUCGAAAGGGAUGCUAAUACCGCAUACGUCCUACGGGAGAAAGCAGGGGAUCACUUGUGACCUUGCGCUAAUAGAUGAGCCUAAGUCGGAUUAGCUAGUUGGUGGGGUAAAGGCCUACCAAGGCGACGAUCUGUAGCGGGUCUGAGAGGAUGAUCCGCCACACUGGGACUGGGACACGGCCCAGACUCCUACGGGAGGCAGCAGGGGGGAAUAUUGGACAAUGGGGGGAACCCUGAUCCAGCCAUGCCGCGUGUGUGAAGAAGGCCUUAUGGUUGUAAAGCACUUUAAGCGAGGAGGAGGCUCUUUUGGUUAAUACCCAAGAUGAGUGGACGUUACUCGCAGAAUAAGCACUGGCUAACUCUGUGCCAGCCGCCGCUGUAA
rnacentral:rRNA from 1 species